rnacentral:tRNA from 1 species
GCCAGGAUGGCUCAGUGGUUGAGCGUUCGACCUAUGAUCCAGGAGGUCAUGGUUAGAUUCCCGGUCAGGGCA